AUGAAGUUCGGGAAGAGGCUCAAGAAGCAGGUCGAGGAGAGCCUCCCGGGGUGGAGGGACAAGUUCCUGGCGUACAAGCGCCUCAAGGUGCUCGUCCGACUCGUCUCCAGCUCCUCGCCGCACCGUGCCGCGGCGGAGGCCGCCUUCGUGCGGCAACUCCACGACGAGGUCGACAGGUUCAACACCUUCUUCCUCGAGCAGGAGGAAGAGUUCAUCAUCCGCCAUAAGGAAGUAAGGGAGACGGUGAAGGCGGUGGCCGGCGAGGAGCCGUCGGAGGCGGAGCGUGCGGCGCAGAUGAGGAAGGUGAGGAGGGAGAUCGUGGAUUUGCACGGGGAGAUGGUGCUGCUCCUCAACUACAGCGCCGUCAACUACACAGGGCGCCUGCUCCGGCUGCCCUUCAUCGAGGAGGUUCUUAAGCAGCCAUUCUACACGACAGAGCUCAUGUCGAGGAUCGUCCGCGAGUGUGAGGAGACCAUGGAGGCUAACACCAUCGCGGCGCUGGUGGCCAUGAGGGAGCUUCGCAGCGGGAGCUCCACGUACGGGCACUUCUCGCUGCCACCCUUGGCAAAGGAGACGGAGCAUGGCCUGCUGCUAUCCAUCCAGGUUGCCGAUCUCGUUCAAUCUGAGGCACAUGGUAUUGUCCGGGUGGUUUGA
rnacentral:rRNA from 1 species